rnacentral:rRNA from 1 species
GACGAGGGGUCCUAGCGUUGUUCGGAAUCACUGGGCGUAAAGCGUAUGUAGGCGGGCUUUUAAGUCAGGUGUGAAAUCCCACGGCUCAACCGUGGAAUUGCAUUUGAAACUGGAAGUCUUGAGUGUGGGAGAGAUUGGUAGAAUACCUGGUGUAGUGGUGAAAUACGUAGAUAUCAGGUGGAAUACCGGUGGCGAAGGCGGCCAAUUGGCCCAACACUGACGCUGAGAUACGAAAGCGUGGGGAUCAAACAGG